rnacentral:rRNA from 1 species
UACGUAGGCAGCGAGCGUUGUUCGGAGUUACUGGGCGUAAAGAGUGCGUAGGCGGUUUUCUAAGUUUGGUGUGAAAUCUCCCGCUUAACUGGGAGGGUGCGCCGAAGACUGGAAGGCUUGAGUAUGGGAGAGGUAAGCGGAAUUCCUGGUGUAGCGGUGAAAUGCGUAGAUAUGGGGAGGAACACCGGUGGCGAAGGCGGCCAUCUGGACGGCUAUUGACGCUGAGACGCGAAAGCGUGGGGAGCAAACAGG